CGCUCGUAGCUCAGCUGGAUAGAGUACCUGGCUACGAACCAGGCGGUCAGAGGUUCGAAUCCUCUCGAGCGCGCCA
rnacentral:tRNA from 4 species